GGGGAAUUGUUCGCAAUGGGCGCAAGCCUGACGACGCAACGCCGCGUGGAGGAUGAAGGUUUUCGGAUCGUAAACUCCUGUCGAGCGGGACGAACACCGCGCGGGCGAACAGCCCGUUCGGCUGACGGUACCGCUAAAGGAAGCCCCGGCUAACUUCGUGCCAGCAGCCGCGGUAAUACGAAGGGUGCAAGCGUUAAUCGGAAUUACUGGGCGUAAAGCGUGCGUAGGUGGUUUGUUAAGUCUGAUGUGAAAGCCCUGGGCUCAACCUGGGAAUGGCAUUGGAUACUGGCUUACUAGAGUGCGGUAGAGGGAUGCGGAAUUUCCGGUGUAGCGGUGAAAUGCGUAGAGAUCGGAAGGAACAUCUGUGGCGAAGGCGGCAUCCUGGACCAGCACUGACACUGAGGCACGAAAGCGUGGGGAGCAA
rnacentral:rRNA from 1 species